rnacentral:rRNA from 1 species
CGGUGACGUGGAGCAAACCUCAGAAAGCCAAUCUCAGUUCGGAUUGUAGGCUGCAACUCGCCUACAUGAAGUUGGAAUCGCUAGUAAUCGCGAAUCAGAAUGUCGCGGUGAAUACGUUCCCGGGUCUUGUACACACCGCCCGUCGCACCAUGAGAGUUGGGAAUACCCGAAGCCUGUGAGCUAACUUUUAAGAGGCAGCAGUCGAAGGUAGAAUCAAUGAUUGGGGUGAAGUCGUAACAAGGUAUC